rnacentral:lncRNA from 1 species
AAGUUCCCUCUGUAUGCAGAAUAUUGUGCAACAUGGUUAUGGGUACUACAGUGGAUGUGAGUGUGUAGACCUUGUACAAUAGAGCUUAUAGGCUAAUGAGAAGACAGGAAGAAACAACAGGAACACAUAUAGCUGGAAUGCAGAUGGGAUCUGUGCUACUUACGCUAGCCAUGGGAUGAUUAGAACAAGAUAAGAGACAUGAGGAAGACUUCUUCAAGGAGGUGCUCAAGCCAUGUUUUGGAAAAGAGAACUCAAGGUCUGGCAGGGAGAAAGGAGCAAGGUCCUCUUCUCCCUGAAGGCUGUCACAGUUCCUGUGCAGAGAGAGAGGGCACUGCAGCACCCAGGCGCUGACUGCCUUUUGUCAGUCUCAUUUGCAGGCCCCCAGCUGGAGAACCCAGGAGGAAGAGGAAAAAAGUUUUUUCCUCCUCUACACUCCCCAUGCAUGACUAAAGAGUAGGAGGAGUCAGCAAGGCAGACAUAUAUAGUACCCAGGAGGUGGACAAACAACUGCCUUGGUGGAAACUCUGUCCUUUCUGGACUUAUCCUGGUGCCACUGAGACUGUGCAGGUCCCACACUUACAGGGAAAGCAUCACCCGAAAGUGAGAAUGCCUAGAGGCAGGAAUCAUGGAGGCUUCCUUAACCGUCUGUCUGCAACAGCAGGUGCUAGAGAUGACACUGCAGAGUAGAGAACAAAGGAAUCUUAGUAAUUGUUCAAUCCAAUCUCCACACUUUAAAGAUGAAGAAACUGGUAUUGAGAAAAAUACACAGCUUAUCCAAGGUUGCACUGCUGGUUGGUAGCUGAGAUGAAUUUAGAACCCACAUCUGAUGACUACACCAUAUUGCUCCCAGUUUUCCUGUCUGUUCCACAUGUAAAAGUCUGACUCUUCACUUCUCCUUUGAGUAUAUAGACUUUUAACAUUUUUGUAUGUCAAGAUGGACUUUUCCUCAUACCCAGCCCCUGCCUUUUCUCCUCCCUUCAUACCUUGCAGGAUCUUUAACAGAAUUUAAAAGGAGUUUUUUGUUUUGUUUUGAUGUAUCUAAUAAAAGUCAAGGGAGGGAGAGGGCCAGUAUAAGCAAGAGUACAGUUUCCUAGUUUGUAGAUGCGGUAGUCUGAGGAAUCAGAAACACACAAAGGUUUGGAGAACUGGUACAUGCUCCCAGGUGGGAAGCCAGGACUCUUGGUAGGAUCUUGAGGACAAGGCAAAGGACAAUAAGAGAGCGAGGGGAUCCUAGAGGUGGAAUCAAGGAAGAGAAACUAGAGAGAGAAAAAGGAACUGGCUAUCCAUCCAUGAUGGAUCCUGUGUGGACUGAUGGGUGGCUUGGCAUCAUCCUUUAGUAGACUUCAUGUGGUUGAAUAAUUGGCCAAUGGAAGGAAUUUCUUUUUUGGUAACAGACUCUGUGUGUACAGUUAUGGGUCUUAAUUUAUAAUAAAAGGUUACAUUGAAAAUUGAGCAUAUUGGCAA